UAUAGUAAAAAUUUCUCUCUCAAAAAAAAAAAAAAAAACAAAGACAUAAGAGUACAAGUAGGUACACAGGAAGAAUUCCAGAGCUUAAUAGACAGAGUGACUACAGCUGGUGAUAAUUCCACGCAUACAUUAAAAAACUCGAGGAGAAGAUUGUGAGCAUUUCCUACACAAAAUAAUAAUAAGUGUUUGGAUUGAUAUGUGUAUUCCCUUGAUUUGAUCAUUACACACCAGAUACAUGUAUUGGAAGCCACCCUGUAUCCUAUUAAUAAGCACGACUAUUAUACGUCCAUAACAUUUAUCAUUACAAAGGAGGAAAGAGAGAGAGGAUGAGAGGAGGAAACACGUUGGUAAUUCUGUGACAAUUCUAUUCUUUGUCCUGGGAGCAGAAGGGCGAACGUGAAGAGGGGCGCUCCCCAGGCAGGCUCUAUCCCUUUCCAAAAUUGAAGUCUGUAUUAGUUUUUUGUUGCUGCUGUAAUAAAUCACCACAAAUUUAGUGACUGCUAAAACACAAAAGUAUUGUCUUACAGUUCUGGAGGUCAAGGGUCCAAAAUGAGUUUCACUGCCCUCCCCCCAAGGCUUUGGCAAGCUCGCUGGCUCUCCUGAAGGCCCCAGGGGAGAACGCGCUGUCUUGCCAUUUCUAGAGGCCACCUGCAUUCCUUGGUUGGGGGACCUUCCUCUCUGCAAAGCCAGCACUGUAGCAUCUUCAGAUCUCUCUCCCCUCCUCUCACUGCGAAGACCUUUGUGACUUCAUGGCCCACCCAAAUAAUCCAGGACAAUCUCCCCACUCAAUCUCUUCAAUUCCAUUUGCAAAAUCCUCUUUGCCUAUGAGCAUAAAUCACAGUUAUUUGUUUGAACAAUCACUUAUUGCCUCCUCCCUCGAUUGAAGAAUGAGCUGCUCGAACACAGGCCCCAUGUCAUCCCUGCCCACCACGGACCCCCCGACUGAAUCCCUGGCAGGUGACAGCCCCCCAGCAGAGGCUGUCCCGCCCUCCGAGGAAGUGGAGCUCCAUUAUGCUGCCCUCACCUUUCAGGAGAUGCCGCCCAGGGACCCACAGGACCAGACGGCCCCCGGCCACGAGUACUCAGAGAUCAAGAUCUGCAAGUGAGGACGUGCAGAGACUCGCCCUGCUCGAGAGAUCGCGGCCCCUUCAGGGCAUGGGAAGUCGGAGGCUGGUUCCUGGGGAACCCAAAGCCCCAGGUCACCCUGCUCUGCCACAGAUCACCAGAGCCGAUUCCGCCUCCUGACGGACACUGUGGACCCGUUGUCCAACAUCCCCCCUUCCACCCCACCCCUGGUGCAGCCUCUGCGACCCCGUUCCUCUCUCUCCUUGAGUUCAGUGUUCUGGACUCCACCUGGCAGUGGGUGUGUGGUAUCUCGCCCGCUGGGCCUGGCUUAUUCACGUGGUGCAAUGCCCUCUUGGCUCAUCUGUGUUGUUGUGAAUGGCAGAAUAAUGUAAGGUAUAUUCCAAAAUAACUGAAAUAGAGGAUUUUAAAUGAUCU